CAGACAGCCGAACUCACCCCCAAUAAAGGAAUGAGGAGGGUCUUUAUUUUUUUAAGGUCUCAUACAGUCCAGUGUUUACAAGACGAGAAAUACCAUUGCCCUGUCCUUCUGGAAAGAAAGGCUGAAAUAGAAGACUGCCGCCUUCCUUAUAAGAUUGAAACUGACCUGUGCAGUGCCAGUUGGGUUUUUGCCCCUUUGUAUCUGUCCUUGGCAUGGAGGCUCUAGGAAAGAAGGCCAACUUGUGAUCAAGAAAGGUUUCACUCUGGGCUCAUUGGAGUCUGAGCCAGCCCUGGUAGAAAAAGCAACCGCGAAGCGGGAGAGAGAGAGCUGGAGGAAGGAAGAGCAUCAGCCUGAGAAAUGCAGAGAAAUGAGCGAUGCGGCAGGUCCGGAACAAACGUUGCAGAGGGCAAGACAGGCACUCACGGACAGAGGUUUAUAUAUUUUUAAUUUUUAAAUCCGAUUUUGGGCUAGACAAAGAAAAGGGAAAAUUAAGGGAAAGCGGGCGGGUCGGGGGCAGUUCCUGCUGGAUGCAUUAACACCUCAGGAGGAAAGAACUGGCUAAACCCGGGUGGGCACAGGACAGCACCAGGGAAACAGCAUUACGCUGCUCGCACACUGCAGAGCUGAGCCCUGGAAGCCCCCCCUCGUGGCCGCCGGAGUUUUCUGGCUCUCCUUAUCAUCUCCAUCUUUAUGACGAGGCUUGUUAACAAGACCAGCGAGCUGGCCACGCACAUCUAUCUCAGCCGCGUGCGCUCAGCCGAGCAGUGGCCGGCGGGGGGACUGGGAGGCGCUAAUUAAUUGAUUCCUUUGGACUGUAAAAUAUGGCCGCGUCUACACGGAACCGUGGACUCAUAAACAAUAUCUCUGCUGGAUGUGAGCACACUGUCUUUCAAAGAAUUUUUCCAUAGGUAUGUGUCAGAGAGUUCUGGAGUUUUAGUUGCUAAGACCCAAGUGGGACUAAUUUUUAGGGGGCCAGAACAGCUCAGUGCCAGAAAAUGGCUCUCCAAAAGCACUGGGAGUGGAUCUUGUUGAGAAAAGAGGGGGGGGUGCUCUUGGGCUGUCGGAUAGUCUUUCUUUGUUGCUUGUGUAGACCCAGUUUGGUUUAAGGGUAGGAAUCUGAGCAGUGGGCUGCGACUAGCCAGUCUUUCAGCCCUGGCUGGGUGCAGGGGAGUGGGGCUUCUCCAAGAUUUGUGAAUAACAUUAGAAGCCCACCCUUUGUUUCCUGUUGCUCCCUAGACUGAAGAAUUUAAAAUAAAAAAAUGUAAAACUUAACCAAAUCUUAGACUUCAGGAACCCUUGAGUGCCCAGCACACAGCCCAGAAUCAAAGAGCCUGCUGUAUACUUCACCAGAGCCUUGUGGCUUCCCUUUUUCUGCCUGGGAGUAGAGUAUUUCUAUAAUAGGUUUACCUUAGGCCUAGAAGAAUGGAUCUUGAGACACGUGGGGGUGACAUAAUUAUAUAAUGCUCAUCCUAUACAGUAUGACUGUGCACUGGACCCUGCUACAGACAAGACUUAGUAUGUUCUAAAUGUGUUCUCCAGCUUCAGGUCAGAGCUACAACAGGGAAAUAAGAUAGGAGAUCAGUUGUGAUAAUGCUUAAAGAAAUAGAAGGGCACUUUUAAAAGACAGAAAAUAAUAAAAAUAUAAAACAGAGGGAAAAAAGAUUCAGCAGGUGGAGAUUGCAAUUACUGAUGCCCAGACUUCUUUCCUGCUCUUAUUUUUAAAACCUUCAGAGAAAUAUAUAUUAUAAAUACAAUAUG